CAAAUUAAAGAGAGUUUGAUCCUGGCUCAGGACGAACGCUGGCGGCGUGCCUAAUACAUGCAAGUAGAACGCUGUGAACUGGAGCUUGCACCGGU
rnacentral:rRNA from 1 species